rnacentral:ncRNA from 1 species
GAUAGGCCCCUGUCGUUACCGUGAUUGGACUCUGACAGAGAGUCAACUAGCCUUGUCGACGUGGUUCUUCGCACAUGGAACCCGAGGCGGUCCGAGCCACCAGGGGGGAGGCUCGGACCGCCUUCU